UACGUAGGGUCCGAGCGUUGUCCGGAAUUAUUGGGCGUAAAGGGCUCGUAGGCGGUUUGUCGCGUCGGGAGUGAAAACCUACAGCUUAACUGUGGGCUUGCUUCCGAUACGGGCAGACUAGAGGUAUGCAGGGGAGAACGGAAUUCCUGGUGUAGCGGUGAAAUGCGCAGAUAUCAGGAGGAACACCGGUGGCGAAGGCGGUUCUCUGGGCAUUACCUGACGCUGAGGAGCGAAAGUGUGGGGAGCGAACAGG
rnacentral:rRNA from 1 species